rnacentral:rRNA from 1 species
UACGGGGGGGGGCAAGCGUUGUUCGGAAUUACUGGGCGUAAAGGGCUCGUAGGUGGCCAACUAAGUCAGACGUGAAAUCCCCAGGCUCAACUUGGGAACUGCGUCUGAUACUGGAUGGCUUGAAUUCGGGAGAGGGAUGCAGAAUUCCAGGUGUAGCGGUGAAAUGCGUAGAUAUCUGGAGGAAUACCGGUGGCGAAGGCGGCAUCCUGGACCGAGAUUGACACUGAUGAGCGAAAGCUAGGGGAGCAAACAGG